UAUAUACUCCCUCCAUCUGAAAAUACUUGUUGGAUAAAUUGAUGUAUCUAGAUGUAUUUUGGUUCUAGAUACAUCUAUUUUUAUCCAUUUCACCGACAAGGAUAUUUGGACGGAGGGAGUACAAC
rfam:Triticum aestivum genome assembly, contig: Triticum_aestivum_CS42_TGACv1_scaffold_643005_T_2BS-0.159013_7BS-0.080440